rnacentral:rRNA from 1 species
UACAGAGGGUGCAAGCGUUAAUCGGAAUUACUGGGCGUAAAGCGUGCGCAGUCGGUUAUUUAAGUCGGAUGUGAAAUCCCCGGGCUCAACCUGGGAAUUGCAUUCGAUACUGGAUAGCUAGAGUUCGGCAGAGGGAAGUGGAAUUUCGGGUGUAGCGGUGAAAUGCGUAGAUAUCCGAAGGAACAUCAGUGGCGAAGGCGACUUCCUGGACCAGAACUGACGAUCAGGCACGAAAGCGUGGGGAGCAAACAGG